GAUCAUGGCUCAGGAUGAACGCUAGCUACAGGCUUAACACAUGCAAGUCGAGGGGCAGCAUUUUAGUUUGCUUGCAAACUAAAGAUGGCGACCGGCGCACGUGUGAGUAACACGUAUCCAACCUGCCGAUAACUCUGGGAUAGCCUUUCGAAAGAAAGAUUAAUACCGGAUGGCAUAGUAUUAUCGCAUGAUAAUCCUAUUAAAGAAUUUCGGUUAUCGAUGGGGAUGUGUU
rnacentral:rRNA from 1 species